CCCACGGGUGGCAGCAGUGGGGAAUAUUGGGCAAUGGGCGCAAGCCUGACCCAGCAACGCCGCGUGAAGGAAGAAGGCUUUCGGGUUGUAAACUUCUUUUCUCAGGGACGAAGCAAGUGACGGUACCUGAGGAAUAAGCCACGGCUAACUACGUGCCAGCAGCCGCGGUAAUACGUAGGUGGCAAGCGUUAUCCGGAUUUACUGGGUGUAAAGGGCGUGUAGGCGGGAAAGCAAGUCAGAUGUGAAAACCAUGGGCUCAACCUGUGGCCUGCAUUUGAAACUGUUUUUCUUGAGUACUGGAGAGGCAGACGGAAUUCCUAGUGUAGCGGUGAAAUGCGUAGAUAUUAGGAGGAACACCAGUGGCGAAGGCGGUCUGCUGGACAGCAACUGACGCUGAGGCGCGAAAGCGUGGGGAGCAAACAGGAUUAGAUACCCCGGUAGUC
rnacentral:rRNA from 1 species